rnacentral:rRNA from 1 species
AUUGCCCCAGUAACGGCGAGUGAAGCGGCAAGAGCUCAAAUUUGAAAUCUGGCCCCUCCGGGGUCCGAGUUGUAAUUUGCAGAGGAUGCUUCGGGUGCGGCCCCUGUCUAAGUGCCCUGGAACGGGCCGUCAGAGAGGGUGAGAAUCCCGUCUUGGGCAGGGUGCCCGUGCCCGUGUGAAGCUCCUUCGACGAGUCGAGUUGUUUGGGAAUGCAGCUCUAAAUGGGUGGUAAAUUUCAUCUAAAGCUAAAUACCGGCCGGAGACCGAUAGCGCACAAGUAGAGUGAUCGAAAGAUGAAAAGCACUUUGAAAAGAGAGUUAAACAGCACGUGAAAUUGUUGAAAGGGAAGCGCUUGCGACCAGACUCGGCCUCGGGGUUCAGCCAGCAUUCGUGCUGGUGUACUUCCCCGGGGCCGGGCCAGCGUCGGUUCGGGCGGCCGGUCAAAGGCCCCAGGAAUGUAUCGUCCUCCGGGACGUCUUAUAGCCUGGGGUGCAAUGCGGCCAGCCUGGACCGAGGAACGCGCUUCGGCACGGACGCUGGCGUAAUGGUUGCAAACGACCCGUCUUGAAACACGGACCAAGGAGUCUAACAUCUACGCGAGUGUUCGGGUGUCAAACCCGUACGCGCAGUGAAAGCGAACGGAGGUGGGAGCCCCUUUGGGGCGCACCAUCGACCGAUCCUGAUGUCUUCGGAUGGAUUUGAGUACGAGCGUAGCUGUGGGGACCCGAAAGAUGGUGAACUAUGCCUGAAUAGGGCGAAGCCAGAGGAAACUCUGGUGGAGGCUCGCAGCGGUUCUGACGUGCAAAUCGAUCGUCAAAUUUGGGUAUAGGGGCGAAAGACUAAUCGA